rnacentral:snRNA from 1 species
UAGAUUCUUUACUAUACUAAACCUGCAAUGAUCCAGAGAAGAUCAACGUGGCCCCUCCACAAGGAUGGCACAUUUUUGGAGCAUUACAUAUUUUU